GACGAACGCUGGCGGCGUGCCUAAUACAUGCAAGUUGAGCGCUGAAGGUUGGUACUUGUACCAACUGGAUGAGCAGCGAACGGGUGAGUAACGCGUGGGGAAUCUGCCUUUGAGCGGGGGACAACAUUUGGAAACGAAUGCUAAUACCGCAUAAAAACUUUAAACACAAUUUUUAAGUUUGAAAGAUGCAAUUGCAUCACUCAAAGAUGAUCCCGCGUUGUAUUAGCUAGUUGGUGAGGUAAAGGCUCACCAAGGCGAUGAUACAUAGCCGACCUGAGAGGGUGAUCGGCCACAUUGGGACUGAGACACGGCCCAAACUCCUACGGGAGGCAGCAGUAGGGAAUCUUCGGCAAUGGACGAAAGUCUGACCGAGCAACGCCGCGUGAGUGAAGAAGGUUUUCGGAUAGUAAAACUCUGUUGGUAGAGAAGAACGUUGGUGAGAGUGGAAAGCUCAUCAAGUGACGGUAACUACCCAGAAAGGGACGGCUAACUACGUG
rnacentral:rRNA from 1 species